GAUGAACGCUGGCGGCGUGCCUAAUACAUGCAAGUCGAGCGAACGGACGAGAAGCUUGCUUCUCUGAUGUUAGCGGCGGACGGGUGAGUAACACGUGGAUAACCUACCUAUAAGACUGGGAUAACUUCGGGAAACCGGAGCUAAUACCGGAUAAUAUUUUGAACCGCAUGGUUCAAAAGUGAAAGACGGUCUUGCUGUCACUUAUAGAUGGAUCCGCGCUGCAUUAGCUAGUUGGUAAGGUAACGGCUUACCAAGGCAACGAUGCAUAGCCGACCUGGGAGGGUGAUCGGCCACACUGGAACUGAGACACGGUCCAGACUCCUACGGGAGGCAGCAGUAGGGAAUCUUCCGCAAUGGGCGAAAGCCUGACGGAGCAACGCCGCGUGAGUGAUGAAGGUCUUCGGAUCGUAAAACUCUGUUAUUAGGGAAGAACAUAUGUGUAAGUAACUGGGCACAUCUUGACGGUACCUAAUCAGAAAGCCACGGCUAACUACGUGC
rnacentral:rRNA from 1 species